UGCUAACAAAAUGAAGGCAGAUCUGAAUGCCAGUUUGCAGCUUGAGACAAGCAUAUGUUACUGGCAGGAUCAACCAGGUAGCCCUCGGGGGUGGGACGGAGAACCACAGCGUGCUGGUUUCCUACACGCGGGUCUCACUCCACGAUGGGGGGGGGGACACCCCGG